ACUCCUUUUGGGAGAAGUUCGAAAUUAAAAAACCAUUUGAUCUGUUCUUAUCAGCUUAACAUCUGAUAGAUCCUCCAUCGGAGGACAACAAAUGUUAAACUGAUUUUUGGAAAUCGACGGAGUGUUUUAGGGGCUUGCUCCACCUCCGUCACGGGUUGUCCCGGUAUUGCAGUACCACCGGGAAUUCAGCCCAAAUUAU